UUGGGUGGUGUAGCUGGUCUAGUUCAUCUAUGGCUUCCCCCAAACUAUAGCUUCAUAAGUUUUUUUCUCACAACCAUCAUUCGCUACCCUUUCAAUUUAAUACAUUGUACCUGCAACCAUCUGCUCCAGAAAUGAAUUCCACAGACCUCAAAACCAUGAAUUUCACCCCAAACUUGAAACCUUAAAAUCAUAAAUACAAAGAUACGGUACCUUCAUGAUGGCAAAUUGAAGAAACUUGUCGAUAUCAUUCUGUUCUGAAGUUAACUCCCUUGGGGUCGCCAUCGUCACAAAAAAUAGGUUAAAAGAAAACAACGAAAAUCGAUCUAACUGUGAAAGACACAUGUAAUUGAAGCAAUGAUUACCAGAAUUCUUGCCAGAGUUAAACAGAGACCAGUCACAACCGUAGCUCUCGCCACCUCCAUCUUGUUACUGUAAGCAUACCCACCAGCUGAACAGCCAAUUUAGACCACCAAAUCAACAACAAUUCCAAUGAUUCUAUUUAAUGAACACUCAAAUGUGAAAAAAUUAAGCUAAAGUACCUAUUGGAGCCCUAAUAUUCUGACGAAAACCAUCGCCUGGUCUGUGGUGUGAUGUCGCCGACUUCGAUUUGGGCAGAACGACAACGUCGGUGAUAGGGCAGUUGACGACAACAACAGGGCGACUUAUAGACGUGUUGAUGGCGGAGGACGGCGACAAGGGUCUGACGACUAUGAGGGAUCUUAUUGCGGACGCUCUACGGUUCUACUCUAAGGUUUAGAUCCGGAUGAAAAGUCGAUCCAGUUAGGUUCAAGGAAUUUUUUCCUUUGUCCUAAGCGAACUGCGAACGCCACAUCAUCAUCUACUUGCUCGGAGGAAGCAGAAAAUUUGACGAAAUUUAAUGCGCAUUGGCUUCGAUUCAUGAACUUUUCCUUUGUCCUAAGCGAACUGCGAACGCGACAUCAUCAUCUACCUGUUCGGAGGAAGCAGAAAAUUUGACGAAAUUAGCUUAGAAAGUUUAGAUCCGGAUGAAAAGUUGAUCCAGUUAGGUUCAAGGAAUUUUUUCCUUUGUCCUAAGCGAACUGCGAACGCGACAUCAUCAUCUACUUGCUCGGAGGAAGCAGAAAAUUUGACGAAAUUUAAUGCGCAUUGGCUUCGAUUUAUGAACUUUUCGCAGUAAGAAUAUUUGAUAUUAUAUUAUAUGUUAGGCGAAUUAAUAUGCCCAUACCAAUUUCAAGUUGUUGUCAAGUUAAGAACGAUCGACUAUUAGUAUUGUAUAGUGGCAAAGAUGU
rnacentral:lncRNA from 1 species